rnacentral:tRNA from 1 species
GCCCUGCUAGCCCAAAUGGUGGAGGCGUCUGCCUUAGAAGCAGAAGGUUCCCGGUUCGAAUCCGGGGCGGGGCACCA